AAGGAAAGUGGAAUUCAAGAGGUAACUGAAUGUUAUAUCAUUACUGAUGAACUUUUUGUAUUCAUUAGUUUGUUUUCUUUUGUAUCAUUUUCUUAUGGUUGAAAUCUUUGUUGUAGCAUCCUUAUAAAGCAGAAAUAAUACAAUAUGUUUAGUUUGUAUUCUUUGUGAACAGCAUCAUCACCAUAAUAGCUGUAAUGAACACUCAUAUGCAAUGCUUAUUUUUUUUAUCAUAGUAUCAUGCCAGUGCUAUGCUUCCUGCUCUAACAUAUAAGCUUUUCGUCAAUGUAAUUUUCACUGCUUAUUACAUUAUAUGUCGUUUUUUCUUUUGUAUAUAAGAAAUAAAGGUUAAGAUUGUGGAUUUGUUCCACCCUGGGUGUGAGUAUAAUUUACUGUAAUGAAUAGGGAAGCAGAUGCAUCUCUAGAAAAAGAAAGAAUUAAAUUUGCUUGAAAAGUGUAAGCAUUUUUUUAUAGAAAUGAAAUGACAAGUGUUGAACUGUGAUGUUUUGCAUGUGUCUGUCUAUGUGUAUCCCAAGUAUAUGAAAUUUAUAGGAAAGAAAACCAUGUAAGAAGUGUGUGUGUGUGUGUUUCUUAAAUUUCCAUCAAUGAAAUCAACAACAAUGGUAUCAUCAGUAAUUCUUGGUGAUGAUAUCAUUGACAAAGUUCACUUCAGCAGUGAGGAAUAAUCAAUCCUAUUCAGCUUGCUGUUUUUGUCUUGUUUGUGCUCUCUAAAAAAAAAAAGGGAAGGAAAAAACACCUAUUUAAACUAUUCAACCUAGCUUCAUUGCUAACAAUAUCAAUUUUUCAAUUUUUAUAACGGCUAUUUGUCGCCAAUUCAAGCUUCAGAACUACCUGAUUUCGCAAAAUCAAUCCAGCACCGACUAAUCAGAAUCUGAAUCUGACAUCGGCAUCUGGUAAGCAUCUUUUGGUUCCAUAUCUGUUAUGGAAGGAGGCAUAUCCCCAUUGGAUGCAUUCCUUCUCCUCUCUCUACGUUUUUGCAUAAUUUCAUCCUUCACAUUUGAUUGACUUGGUUGACUUAAUUGACUCUGACGAGUUUGUUGAUUUCUCAUCAGCCACAUAGUACCAAAAGACAUUAAUGCUGCCAAAAGUAAUAUUGGGCCAAUCCUUGGAUCUCCCAUGUGAUCAUAAGUUUUGCCCAUUACUUUAAGGAGAAUGUGCUUGAUUCCCACACUUCUGGAUAGAAUGCUUUGGACACCUUUUGACCAGAUAGGAUCUGUGUCUUCAGGAACAAGGUCAGGAGUUUUUGUUUUAAAGAAGGGGAGGUCCCUGGUUUCGCCAUCCUUAAUUGUUCCCGAGAUCCAUUGAAUGAUCUGUGGAAUUUUAUCCGAACCAUUGUACCUUGCCACAAGCUGUGAUGCAGGAUCUGCUUCCUCGUAUUCAAAUACAUUUUUCCUAAUCCUGACAUUAUCUUGAGUAGCAUUCCUUUUGUAACGUACAAUAAAUAACCUAGGUACAUCAGUCAGAUCCCUCCUUGGUCCACAGGUAUCAUAGCUGGUUUCUGAAUGAAGGUAGAAGAAACAAUAUUUUUGUUGAGCUUCUCCAUCAAGCCAAGCAAAUGUCAGUCGUUUGUUUUGCAGCGCACUUGCCAAUAAUAAGGAUUGAUCUUCAUCAACAUCACUCAACUCUCCAUCAUUUGAUAAUAGUAGUUGUACCCUGCGCAUGGUCUAUGAACUCGUGUAAUUCACUCCAUUCACGCAUCUUCUUGAGUUCUGGGCCCCGCCUUCCUGCUAGAAUAACACAAUACCAUGACAUGGUAUCAACUCCAGCAAGACAAUAGCCUCGGGCAUCACAACCAAUCUCCAUUGAAGUCACACUUCUUAACUGUGGAAGUUCUUGCUGUUUAUUUUUUUCCAUGACAUCUGCAAACCAUGAAGUGUUGAAUGAUCCAUGGAAAAUGACAGGUUUAACACCUGGAUCUUUCAGGAAUACAAUAGCAGGGGCAGAUUCCACCUCAAACCUAUAAUUCAUUUCUUUUAAUAGUAGAAGCAAGAAUAGGGGUAAAAAAGAAAGCAAAGAAAGUAUCUCCAGUGCAUGCUAGGAGUACAGAGCAUAACAGUCUCUACACAUACACAAAAACAAAAAUAAAAUAAAAAUAAAAAUAAUCAGACGAAAUUUCCUGCUGCUCAAAACUGAAGAGUCUGCAGCCAUUUUUCUUUCCACUUCUCCACAGGUUUCCCUGUUUCAAAAGCCCUCAGAUUCUUCUCACUACAAGGCAAACACAAAAUAGCCAUGGGAAUGGCAUCCUUUACUUCUACAAACUUUACAGUAUAAACCUUUCCACAGUCGAUGCAUCAAAUUCCAUCUCCAUAUUCUAAAUAUAAAACUGGUUUGCAAGCAUUAAAAAGUGUCAUCCAAUCACAAUGAUGAAGCAAGUGAAUAACACUCCUUUUGCAUAAGGAAGUUGCAACGCAUUUUCCCUUCAUCAAAAUUCUUCCCCACAAGGCUUUCCAAUAAUUGAGAAAGAAUUUUGAAGGCACUUCUAUUCCUGAAAUAGAUCUCUAUGGAUAAGAAACUUGUUUUUACUUCUAUGACAUCUGACCAAAAAAAAAAAUUGUUAUAAGAUUCCACAUAAACUCCAUUUCUUCAUCAACAUCCAUUUAAUUUGUUGUGACAUUGAAAUCAACCUCACCCUCCUAUAGUUUUCUUGAAUGGUAAAUUGACUAGAUCAAAAAGAAAUCCUAAUCUUGAGUAGCUCCUGUUUCUUUUAUUUCUAUACCGGGAAAAACCAAACCCGUAGAUUUUGGCCAACCUAACUAAGCAACUUAUCAAUACUGAUCCGAGGCUCCCUCAGGGGCAUUGAAUUAAAGUUAAAUCCAGAACCAAGAGUUUUGAUACCCUUAUCCUCCUCUUGCAUGUGCACUCCAGACUCAUAAAGGGCUAUUACCAUCUUCUAGAUCAUCUCCCUCUCCCAAACUCCUAGGUUCCCUCUAACCAAAAAGUUGAACCUACUAGGAUUAUCAUUUUUAUAGAAAUAAUUGUUAUCCAACACAAUCCCAUUUCAAACAGUUGAAUAAUGCAUCAAUGAUUAAGAGGUGAACUCUGCACCAAUCAUGCCAAAUGAAGGGAGUAUCAUACACCUCAAAAGAACUGCAAGUUAAAAAUUAAGGUCUGCCAUGGUGUUUGUUACACAAUAAGAAGUAAAAUGUUAAAUAGUUUUCCCAAUUUAAGAAAAUAAAAGAUGUAUUGGUGGUAUCUGCCCAAAAAGGAAUCAGUACAACAGGCUAAAGAACACAAUAAUAGGCUCCUUAUGAAACAAUAUCCAGCGUACAAUUUAGUGAAGGAGAAAGCACAUCCACUUACGUAUUCCACCACAAGGAGAAAUCCUCCUCUCGCCAUAGCACAAAUGCAAAACAGGCAUAAGCCCAAUAAUUUUUUGCAGUUUGACGUACAAAUGGAGUAGCACGCACUCCUGUUUUUGAGAAGAAAAUGACUUUUACCUUGUGUGGACCACAUUUUGCCAGAAAAUUCUUCCCCAGUGACUCCUUGGAAUAAUACAAAAUGCGAGGUAAACCAAGUAUGACAGUUGCAGUCCAAUCAGUAACAGCAUCGAUCGAGAGAUCUCCCUCAUACCUAAUUCAGAAGAAAAAAUUUAGUGCCAUUCCACUAAUAUCCAGUAAGCAAAAACAUAAGAGGAGGGGUGCACAUGAUACUCACAAAAGAUUUUGGAUACAUCAUCUUAUUAAUGUCAAAAAGCUUUGUGUAAAGCUUCCACAAUAUAUUAAAAUUUGCGAUUUCACUUUCCACUUUCCAGCCCAGCUCCUCAAAUAUAGAACAAAAAUAAAAAGCUUCUAUUUUACUGAACAUUUUUUUUUAAUUGUGUCUCCAACUGCCAACUCUUACUCACCUAAUAAGACAAUCUGAAGUUCUACACCCCGGUGGAAAAGCCACUAGUGAAGGAAGCCCAUUCCUAAAGAAGAAAUGCCCUGUUGGUUUUCUCUCAGCAAGGGACGUUGUAAGUUGCACAUCGCCAAGUUCCACCAUACCAGUGUUUGCAACCCCUUCCAAUAAAGAAGUGAUUUCUUUCCAAGAAUUAAAGAAUUGAGCACUGCGGCUGCUCCCAUCUGAAUAUAUCUCAAUGAGCCAUGUCUUAGAAUUAGUAAACAUAGACCCGAAGUUCUCAGAUGUAACAACAGUAAGAGCAUGAUCUCCAGGAUCAGAAUAUGUAGCUUCUAGUAAGGGAAGUCCAAUGCGUGAAAAGCUUUCCCCAGCAUAUUGCUCUUUGAACUUGUCAAGAGCAAGCUAGGACAAACAAAUUUCAGGUCACGAAUAAAAAAUGCAUAAACUGGGAGACAGAGGAAAGUGUUGGGGAUUUGGGAACAAACUAGAAGUAUUUUAGCAGCAAGCAAUAUUCCAGGAGUCAGGUACUCACAAGUUGCUCAUCAAUGCCAAAUAUGUUAUAGUCCCUUUUCCAUAAAGAAUUUGUCAACAAUUCGUAAGCAUAUUGAAUCUGAGAGGAUACAACAUCAUAAAAACAAUGGAAUGAACAUAACAAUAAACUAUAACAUAGAAAUAUUAAUCCCAACAGCAUUCAGAAGAUCAAAGAAGAAAAAGGCACUUGCUUUAGUCACAAUUGCCUUUUUCUAUUCUAUAUAUUGAAUAUCCAUUGAUCUAUUGGCGACCACUGGAGUGGAGCCUAGUGAGCCUAAUGCUUUAAUAGAACUUCUUAACAUUAGUAGUAAGCAACAUAUGUACAAGCAUGAUGAAAUUAGGGUGAGCCUUCUAUUAAGGGAUUGAAAUUGACUAACCUCUAUAAAAUCAACAGCACUAGGAACCUCGAUGCCAGAAUUCCUAUAAAGAAAACACAGUUCCCAAAUUUCACCAGUCACCAUAAAUAAGCAUUGCUAAUAAAAGAACCUAAUAAGAGAGAGAAUUCACCACUUGGAAGAAAGCUUUUCAUAAGCAUCUUUAACUUCUUCAAUGGAACUAUGCCUUUCAAUCCCCAAAACUGGGCCAAAUCGCGGUUAACAAAAGAAUAUCAUAAUUAAAUGUGUGAACAAUCAUCGAAUCAUAUACCGACCAUCGUAGUGCGAAGGAGGAAAAGAGCGAGGAAGAACAACGAGCUGAUAGAAAAUAGCGAGGGCGAAGAGAAAGAGAGGCACAGCGUAGGCUUUGAUCGGUGACAGGAUUGACGAGCUUGCCGCUACUCUUCCUUCUCCUCGUCCUGUAGCCAUGGCGAAAAUUUUCUUGCCACUACCAGUGGCUCCUAGAGAUUGUGAACUACUAUAUCUAUACUCUCUACCAAGAGCGUAUUUGGUUCACAGUUGAUAGCCGGUAGAUGAAUUAGAG
rnacentral:misc_RNA from 1 species